rnacentral:rRNA from 1 species
GACGAACGCUGGCGGCGUGCUUAACACAUGCAAGUCGAACGGAAAGGCCCUGCUUUUGUGGGUUGCUCGAGUGGCAAAGGGGUGAGUAACCCGUGAGUAACCUGCCCUUGACUUUGGGAUAACUUCAGGAAACUGGGGCUAAUACCGGAUAGGAGCCCCGGCUGAAUGUGGGGGUUUGGAAAUUUUCGGCGGUUGGGGAUGGACUCGCGGCUUAUCAGCUUGUUGGUGGGGUAGUGGCUUACCAAGGCUUUGACGGGUAGCCGGCCUGAGAGGGUGACCGGCCACAUUGGGACUGAGAUACGGCCCAGACUCCUACGGGAGGCAGCAGUGGGGAAUAUUGCACAAUGGGCGGAAGCCUGAUGCAGCAACGCCGCGUGCGGGAUGACGGCCUUCGGGUUGUAAACCGCUUUCGCCUGUGACGAAGCGUGAGUGACGGUAAUGGGUAAAGAAGCACCGGCUAACUACGUG